rnacentral:lncRNA from 1 species
UUCCUCAGGCCUUCCCCCACUCCAACAAAUGCCGGGCUGUCGGGAGCCCCGAGGAACGAGUCUCCUCCCCUUCAUUCGAAGGGCUACCAUCUGAGUGCCUGUCCUCCUUGCCCGCUGACCUGUCGGAGCCCGAAACAGCCUCUGUCUUCUACCCUCUGUUGUCUUCACCUGCAUGGGGCUUUGAGGGUGGCCUUUUUGAGCGGCGGGGUGGGUGGCAGCAGCGAGGCGGCGUGCCGACCUCCGCCUCUCCCUGAACCGAGUCUCUCUGAUUCCACAGAUCCCCUCAGCCUGGAUUACCUGAGCGUCCAAGUGGGCCAGAGCUCUAAAUUCAGCGACACGCCUUCCGAGACGGGGAGUGCUGAGGACUCAGCACGCCCGACGCAACCCAGCUCCUCUCCAACCCUGAUGGACCAGCUUGCAGCCAACCUCGGCGAGCACUUGGCCGGGGACUUUGCCCCCCCCGGGGGCUCUGCCCAGAGAACGGCCCCUGGUUUCCGGCCACGUGAGCUCGGACAUCACCUCGGACAGAGAUCUCCCAGGAAAUGUCACCCUGCUUUCCUGUGUCACCAUCUGGACCCAAAGCAUCACCUGUUCCUGGGACCCCGGGCCAGAUCCCGGCAUCCCCACCACGUAUACUCUGCACGUCCGCGAGUGAGCUUCCUGUGGGGGACAGUGGCUGUUCUUCAGGCACUCUACUCUUUCUGUUUGUCUGUACUAGAAGUAAUAAUAGUAUCUAUUAAGCAUGCAUCAUGUGGAG